UACAGAGGGUGCAAGCGUUAAUCGGAAUUACUGGGCGUAAAGCGUGCGUAGACGGUUAUGUAAGUCAGAUGUGAAAGCCCCGGGCUUAACCUGGGAACUGCGUUUGAAACUGGGAGACUUGAGUGUGGCAGAGGGGGGUGGAAUUCCACGUGUAGCAGUGAAAUGCGUAGAUAUGUGGAGGAACACCGAUGGCGAAGGCAGCCCCCUGGGUUAACACUGACGCUCAUGCACGAAAGCGUGGGGAGCAAACAGG
rnacentral:rRNA from 1 species